UACGUAGGGUGCGAGCGUUAAUCGGAAUUACUGGGCGUAAAGCGUGCGCAGGCGGUUCGUUAAGACAGAUGUGAAAUCCCCGGGCUUAACCUGGGAACUGCAUUUGUGACUGGCGAGCUAGAGUAUGGCAGAGGGGGGUAGAAUUCCACGUGUAGCAGUGAAAUGCGUAGAGAUGUGGAGGAAUACCGAUGGCGAAGGCAGCCCCCUGGGCCAAUACUGACGCUCAUGCACGAAAGCGUGGG
rnacentral:rRNA from 1 species